GCAGUAAUGGUGUGUUACUAACACCAAUGGUUGAUUAUGUCCAUAGUACCCUUUGACAACAAUGGCCACGGAAGUAGAGAUCGGAGAGAGUACAGCCAGCUAGUGACAUACAGCACACCCUCUCCUCCAAGCAUGCCAAGCGGAGCUAAACCAAAGUGUGUGACAACCAACAGUUGUGGGAUAACUUUGCUGCGGCUGGAAUGAGCACUGGCCACAUUGAGCUAUAAUUUGGACUACACAUGCAGAGGGGAGUUAUGCUGGCCCAGAGUUCCCUAUGCAACCAAAGAGGCUAUUGGAGAUGAAAAGGAACCACUAAAACUAACACGAACAGGUACAGUACAGUAUUUAUACAGAAUCAUAGUCUUAUCUAAUGUUAGUUCUAUAGAACGAUUCAAAUAAGUAGGGUAAAGAUACCACAUUUCCUU